ensembl:rRNA 5S_rRNA 5S ribosomal RNA
GAUUACGGCCAUACCACGCUGACAAAGCCCGAUCUUGUAUGAUCUCGGCAUCUAAGCAGAGUUGGGCUGGGUCAGUACUUGGAUGAGUGACCGCCUGGGAAUACCCGGUGCUGUAAGCA